UACAGAGGGUGCAAGCGUUAAUCGGAAUUACUGGGCGUAAAGCGUGCGUAGUCGGUUAUCUAAGUCGGGUGUGAAAUCCCCGGGCUCAACCUGGGAAUUGCAUUCGAUACUGGAUAGCUAGAGUUCGGCAGAGGGAAGCGGAAUUUCGGGUGUAGCGGUGAAAUGCGUAGAUAUCCGAAGGAACAUCAGUGGCGAAGGCGGCUUCCUGGACCAGAACUGACGAUCAGGCACGAAAGCGUGGGGAGCAAACAGG
rnacentral:rRNA from 2 species